rnacentral:rRNA from 1 species
UACGUAGGGUGCAAGCGUUGUCCGGAUUUAUUGGGUUUCAACGGUACGUAGGCGGUUUUAUAAAUCAGUGGUGAAAGACAACAGCUCAACUGUUUAGGUGCCAAUGAUACUGUAGGACUUGAGUACAGGAGAGGUAUGCGGAAUUGACAGUGUAGCGGUGAAAUGCAUAGAUAUUGUCAAGAACACCGAUAGCGAAGGCAGCAUGCUAGCCUGAAACUGACGCUGAGGCACGAAAGUGUGGGGAUCAAAAAGG